rnacentral:lncRNA from 1 species
UCUUCUGUGCUUCCAGUUCGUUUUCGAUGUUGCGACUUUCGAAUAGUUGAUCGGCUCUGUUAAACUUGAUCUAGAGUAUUUGGAGUACCUAGAAAAUAAAUUUUAUUAUUUUUCGAUAUCAUUUGCCUAGUGAUCAAAUGGGCUCAAAAUCAACAAAUUUCAAUGGCCGUAGUGAGCCCGUUUGCAAGUUUAACGUGUAGAAAAAAUCACGUGAAAUUUUGAUAGAAAAUUCUUUAUACUAUAUAAAACAAGAUCAAUAUCUUUGAUUUAAAUUUUAUUGUCAUAUUAUUAUAUUUUGUAAGAUUUUUAUUUUCAGCCGUUGAUUUUGAGCCCUUCGUUCACUAGGCAAAUGAUAUCGUAAAAUCAUAAAAUUUAUUUAUUUGGUACUCCAAAUACUCUAGAUCAAGUUUAACGGAGCCGAUCGACGAUUCGAAAGUCGCAACAUCGAAAAUGAGCUGGAAGCACGGAAGGCGCCGUACUUCCGAUAGCAUAGUAGCCUCACUCUAUAUAUAUAUAUAUAUAUAUUCUAGCUCAAUUCUAUAUAUAUGUGUAUAUAUAUGUAAUUUACUUAAAGUUCAAAAUUCAACUAAAGCAGAAGACACCAAAUAAUUAGUAAAUACUUAUAUGGAACUUACCUAAGCUAUAUAUGGAUUAUUUUCAGCCGAUUACCCAAUUUUUCAAAAUUUUGGGUUUUACUUUCCAACAUUUCAAUUUGUUUGAUUUGAGUUAGUCAACAACACUACUUUAACUUCAAAAUUUAAGCUUAUUGUUUAUUUUAAUAAUUUUAUUAUUACGAGAAUUGCGUUAAGUAUACUAACUCAAAUCAAACUAUUUGGAAAAAUGAAUUGUCAAAUUAAAAUUUUAAGAGGUUGAAUUGUCGACUCAGAAUGGUCUAUAGUUCAUAUAACUUCUACACGUUUUUAAAUAGUUAAAAAGCCAACAUUAUUUUUGCUCCUCAUGUAAAUAAUAAAACUUCCUCUCAAAAUUAAUUUUACCCCUUUAAAUAAGUGAUAUAUGCAGAAAAAAUUUAUGUCGGGGGCUCUUCGAUGUUUGUCCCGUUAAGGAGGCCAAUCCAUCGCCACCUGUUACUUUUAUCUCUAUCCAAAAGUUUUAAUCCUUCUUUCAGGGUUUUUUUUUUUUUUUUUUUUUUUUGGUAUAUNAAUCAAACUAUUUGGAAAAAUGAAUUGUCAAAUUAAAAUUUUAAGAGGUUGAAUUGUCGACUCAGAAUGGUCUAUAGUUCAUAUAACUUCUACAUGUUUUUAAAUAGUUAAAAAGCCAACAUUAUUUUUGCUCCUCAUGUAAAUAAUAAAACUUCCUCUCAAAAUUAAUUUUACCCCUUUAAAUAAGUGAUAUAUGCGGAAAAAAUUUAUGUCGGGGGCUCUUCGAUGUUUGUCCCGCUAAGGAGGCCAAUCCAUCGCCACCUGUUACUUUUAUCUCUAUCCAAAAGUUUUAAUCCUUCUUUCAGGGUUUUUUUUUUUUUUUUUUUUUUGGUAAUAAAAAAUAUCUAAGGAACGAUUGGAUAGUCGCAAAACUAACUCAUGGUGACAAAUUAAUCAGGGUUUCCCCAACGAGGCAUUGAUGGGGAGCUCCCCACUGAAGUUUUAUCCAAUAAAUAUAUAUAUACCGCACACACGUACAUCAUUUUGUUUAUAUACUUGGGGUUACAUUACCUACUUGGGUGAGAAAGAAAGUUACUCAUUAGGAUAUGUGCAUCUUCUCUCUCUCUAAAGAGUUAAUGAAACAUAUAUAUACAAACCAAAUAUAUGUCUGCUAUUAAAUGCAUGCAAAAAGAAUAUACAUGUUUCAUCCUCUUCAUGUAUAUAUAUAUAUAUAUAUAUAUAAAUAUAUAUGUAUAUAUAUAUAUAUAUAUAUAUAUAAAUAUAUAUGUAUAUAUACUUUUCCUUCUCUCAUUUGGUCCCUCUACAUUGAAUGCCCUGAUGGGCACAACUCAUGCCACCCCCAUUAGUUCUAGGAUCUUGCUGCUCAUUUUCAAGUGUGCUGUGGAUCCCGCUACGGCGACAGAUCGAAACAGGCCGCGACGAAGGCGGUACGGGGAGAGAAUUAAUGUCCCAGUUCAUAAUAAGUUUCUUUUGGUACUCACCCAGUCACUUUUCCGUUUGAUUCAUGGGUGGAAGUGUUACUUUGUAAUCAAGUGUGUUUACAUGAACAUUUUCCCCUUCCAAUUCGCAUUAAAUUGCGUCGAUUUGUCCGGUUGUGUUUCAAUGUUCCAAGUAAUCAUCUAGGUUUAUUCUAUAUAAGUUCCUCAAGUGCGCAAAUUAUAACAAACCGCCCAACAAAGCAAAGAUUGAACAUGCAUGAGUUGCUAGGGCCAUACCAACAAUAUUACGUACAUUGAAUGUCCCGUACUACAGAUUACGAAUUCGAGCAGUACUAUCUGUACACCUACAGCAAUUAACAGAGGUCCAUAUGGGGUAUACUUACAGGUGGAAUUUUUAAAUGAAUUGUUUACAUAACGCUCAAUUGUUCCUAGCUUCAUCUAUUAUCUCAAUCAAUGAUCGCGUACCACUCCACAAAAUAACUUUUGGUUUCACUUACGUGGGUAAAAGUUACAAUUUUCCAUUUAAUGCCUCAUUUUUGCGUUGUUCAAUAUUAGUUUAUCGACAUCGAUGUAAAUUGACUGAUAAAAUUAACUUAUUACUAGCUAGGUAUACCAAUUCCAUUAGUUUCUUCCAGGAAAAUGUUACUAGCUACUUUGUACAUACAAAAUUUGCAUGCCUCUUGUAAUAUAUAUGGUAGUUGAAUAAUUAUUGAUAGCGUAAUAAAUGGUUGUAUAAUGUUAGUUGACAUGUGCUAUUGCAUAUGAGAUUGGUGGAAUAUAUAAUGUUAGUUGACAUGUGCUGUAGCAUAUAUAUAUAUAUGUGUGAUUGGUAAAUACAUCAAUGUCUCUGCAAAUAGAUUGCUCACUUUCUGAAACCGCGCUUCAACCUCCGACAGAGCUAAACAGCCACUUAAUUGGAUUAACCGUCGCGCUUUUUCUUUACUUAUCCGGCCCCAUAACGAUGACAAUUUUAUGCCCAUGACAACUAACUUUAUUCUAGGAUUAUGUUUUCUUAGGAUAGGGAGGUUGGUUGUUAGUUAAAGAAAGAUUAUUUGUUUGAUAUUAUGUUUUCACAUAGCUUGCUAUUGGAAAUUAUAGAGAUGAGCUUGUGCAUAUAAAUUUUACCAUUUACAUAUGUCAAUUUAGGUUCUGAUUUAGAUUUGGAUUCAAAUUGCUAUAAUUGGUCCAUUCAUCUCAACACUUUGCCCAUAUAUAUCAUACAUGUUUCAUAAGUGACAUAUAUAUCAUACAUGUUUCGUACUAUUGAUAGUAUUCUAGCCGGACUAUAUAUAUAUAUAUAUAUAUAUAUAUAUAUAUAUAUAUAUAUAUAUAUAUAUAGAGUGAGGCUACUAUGCUUCUGGAAGUAGGGAGCCUUCAGUGCUUCCAAGUCGUUUUCGAUGUUGCGACUUUCGAAUCGUCGAUCGGCUCCAUUAAACUUGAUCUAGAGUAUUUGAAGUACCUAGAUAAUUAAUUAUGCGAUUUUUCGAUAUUAUUUGCCUAGUGAACUAAGGGGCUCAAAAUCAACGGCUGAAAAUAAAAAUCAUACAAAACGUGAUAAUAUGACAUUAAAAUUUUAGAUCAAAGAUAUUAAUCUUGUUUUAUAUAGUAUAAAGAAUUUUCUAUCAAAAUUUCACAUAAUCUUGUUUUAUAUAGUACAAAGAUAUUGAUCUUGUUUUAUAUAGUAUAUAUAUAUAUAUAUAUAUAUAUAUAUAUAGAGUGAGGCUACUAUGCUAUCGGAAGCACGGAGCCUUCCGUGCUUCCAGCUCGUUUUCGAUGUUGCGACUUUCGAAUCGUCGAUCGGCUCCGUUAAACUUGAUCUAGAGUAUUUGAAGUACCUAGAAAAUAAAUUUUAUGAUUUUACGAUAUCAUUUGCCUAGUGAACGAAGGGGCUCAAAAUCAACGGCUGAAAAUAAAAAUCUUACAAAAUGUAAUAAUAUGACAUUAAAAUUUUAAAUCAAAGAUAUUGAUCUUGUUUUAUAUAGUAUAAAG